AUUUAACGCUGGCGGCAGGCCUAACACAUGCAAUUCGAGCGAUCGGCGGACGGGUGAGUAAUGUAUGGGGACUGCCCGAUCAAGAGCGAUACCUACUAGCAACGGUAGCUAAUCCCACAUACUCUCGGAAAACCACUAUGGGAUGAGAGAGUAGGUGCGGUAAUGGCUCAUCUAGGCGACGAUCCCUAGCUGUUCUGAGAGGAUGAUCAGCCAGUAUGGGACUGUGAAACGGCCCAGACUCGUACGGAGGCAGCAGUGGGGAAUAUUGGACAAUGGGCGGAAGCCUGAUGGAGCCAUGCCGCGUGUAUGAAGCAGGCCCUAGGGGUGUAAAGUACUUGCAUUCGGGAGGCGUUACCGACAGAAGAAGCAACGGCUAACUCCGUGCCAGCAGCCGCGGUAAUUC
rnacentral:rRNA from 1 species